rnacentral:lncRNA from 13 species
CUGGGAGUAACAGUUUGCCAGCUCCUCCCCAAUCCAUAGCUCCAGAUGCAUAUAACCUGUGUCUUGGACAUCUCUGUCCAGACCCUUUGGUGAGGCCCAGAGAGGGGAAGCAAUUAGAUCAAUGUCACCCAGCAAGGCAGGGCAGAGUAAGACAGGAGUCUAGUCUCACUCUCAGUUGUCAGAACCCCUCACCGUCAAUCCCUAACACAACUCCUUGCCUCUCUCUUUAUGUCCAUUUCUAUUUAUUGAUUUAUGAUUAUUUAUUGAGCACCUAGUAUGUGCUUGACACUGAGCUGAGCCCUUCCUCUCCCCCACUUCCCUGACCACUCCCUGCAUUUCUCCAUCAUACUGCCCAUGAUGAGUCAGGGACCCAAAUGACCCCCAACUGCAAUGCUUUCCUGACCCAAAAGACCCUGACAUUCUCACCUGAUCCCCAACUGAAGUGUGGACUCCCACAGGGAAGCUGUCCACAUCUGGCCAUAGAAUGCAGGCCUCUAGGACCCUCUCCAGCCAGUCUGGGUCAAGCUCCUGCCCGAGGCACACUUUCUCCACCACAGAGGUGUUCUGCACCCAGGCCUCCUGGAGCAUCUCCCCAAAAAGGACGGAGAGCAGGGAGGACUUCCCUGUCCCCACUAGACUGACUACAGCCAGGAAACCACCCUGGGAUGGAAUCUCGCUCUGUCACCAGGGUGGAGUGCAGUGGCGCGAUCUUGGCUCAUUGCAACCUCUGCCUCCUGGGUUCAAGUGAUUCUUCUGCCUCAGCCUCCCAAGUAGCUGGGAUUACAGGUAAGUGCCACCAUGCCUGGCUAAUUUUUGUAUUUUUAGUAGAGACGGGAUUCCACCAUGUUGGCCAGGCUAGUCUCAAUCUUCUGACCUAGUGAUCCGCCCACCUCGGCCUCCCAAAGUGCUGGGAUUACAGGUGUGAGUCACUGCACCCAGUCGACAAUUAUGUUUUCUUACUUCUCAGGUCCACCCUCCCCAUCCCGAUAAC